rnacentral:rRNA from 1 species
AUGCACGCUGGCGGCGUGCCUAAUACAUGCAAGUCGAGCGAACAGACGAGGAGCUUGCUCCUCUGACGUUAGCGGCGGACGGGUGAGUAACACGUGGAUAACCUACCUAUAAGACUGGGAUAACUUCGGGAAACCGGAGCUAAUACCGGAUAAUAUAUUGAACCGCAUGGUUCAAUAGUGAAAGACGGUUUUGCUGUCACUUAUAGAUGGAUCCGCGCCGCAUUAGCUAGUUGGUAAGGUAACGGCUUACCAAGGCAACGAUGCGUAGCCGACCUGAGAGGGUGAUCGGCCACACUGGAACUGAGACACGGUCCAGACUCCCACGGGAGGCAGCAGUGGGGAAUCUUCCGCAAUGGGCGAAAGCCUGACGGAGCAACGCCGCGUGAGUGAUGAAGGUCUUCGGAUCGUAAAACUCUGUUAUUAGGGAAGAACAAAUGUGUAAGUAACUAUGCACGUCUUGACGGUACCUAAUCAGAAAGCCACGGCUAACUACGUG